GGGCGAGUAUUCGCGCAAGCGAGAAAGUUAAAAGAAUUGACGGAAGGGCACCACCAGGCGUGGAGCUUGCGGCUUAAUUUGACUCAACACGGGAAAACUCACUAGUUUAAGACAAGAGUAGGAUUGACAGAUUAAUAGCUCUUUCUUGAUUUCUUGGAUGGUGAUGCAUGGCCGUUUUUAGUUCGUGAAUAUGAUUUGUCUGGUUAAUUCCGAUAACGAACGAGAUCUUAACCUGCUAAUUAGCGGCAAAUACAACAUAUUUCUAUGCUGAAUUUGUAUUUGGAUAAUUUAAAAGGUUUUUUUGCCGUGCAUAUAAUGAGUACGGAAAAAAUGCAUUUUGCUACCUUGUACCUAAUAAUACUUGGCGCCUAUGCAUAUUUCCAACCCUCUAUUCCCUGUACCGCAUAAAACUGGAUUAUGAUGCCAUUUCACUUUUAUGUAGAAAUGUAUUUGCUUUUACAUAAAGCUUCUUAGAGGAACGAUGUGUGUCUAACACAAGGAAGUUUAAGGCAACAACAGGUCUGUGAUGUCCUUAGAUGAACUAGGCUGCACGCGUGCUACACUGAUAUGUAUAACGAGUUACUAAAAUUACGAUAUGGCUGCUUGCAGUUUAUUUCGUACUUUUCCUCCACUGAAAAGUGUAGGUAAUCUUUAUCAAUACAUAUCGUGAUGGGGAUAGAUUAUUGCAAUUAUUAAUCUUGAACGAGGAAUGCCUAGUAAGCAUGAUUCAUCAGAUUGUGCUGACUACGUCCCUGCCCUUUGUACACACCGCCCGUCGCUCCUACCGAUCGAAAGAUAUGAUGAAUUGUUUGGACAAGAAAAAAUUGGAUUAUAUCUUUUUUUUUCUGGAAAAACCGUAAAUCCUAUCUUUUAAAGGAAGGAGAAGUCGUAACAAGGUUUCCGUAGGUGAACCUGCGGAAG
rnacentral:ncRNA from 1 species